UAAAGAGAGAUUAAAUAAAAAGGAGUUGGUUUGGUUACCAAAGCAAAGACCAGUCAAUAGUCAUACUAAUCUUCUCUUUGCUUCAUCACCUAGAGCAUAUCGACAAGCUCAAGACCAAAGCAAAUGAUCAGUCACAAUUAUCUUCUCUUUCCUUUCACCUCGCCUAAAAUGGACAAGCUCAAUAAAUCAGUCAUUUUCUCAAGUGACCAAGAUGUGUUUCCAUAUCUCUUUAACAGAAAUGGUGUUAAGAUUUAUGCAUCUCGUCGAUCUUUAUAAGCUUAAUCUUCCAAAACGCCCCAUAUUUUCUCUGAUUUCACCUUGUUAAAGCCUUCGCCGUUUACUUCUUCACGUCGUUCCUGGUGGAUCCAUUUCGGAGGUCUUCCCUCUUUUGGUUCAGUUUCUUCAUCAGAUUCAGGAGCUUCGGGUCCCGCCAAUGAAGGUUGAUUGCUCCCAGCAGGCAAUUUGGAGUCCACUAGGUAGUUGCUUGGCAUUCGUAGCCCAGUGUUUCUCUCUACUAUUUUACUUCCAUUGUUCUAGUUCUGUAAUAGAUUGUAUAAACUCUUUCAUACUCUUAAACUUAUGUUAGAUGCUCAUGAUUAGUGACACCCGAUGUAAAGUUGUGUUGGUUUCCGCAAAUUGUACUAGUUCACUUUUAUUUUGGAAUUAUUAG